rnacentral:rRNA from 1 species
ACGAACGCUGGCGGCGUGCUUAACACAUGCAAGUCGAACGGGGUCCAUCCCGUGGCAACACGGGGGAAGACCGAGUGGCGAACGGGUGAGUAACACGUGAGCAACCUGCCCCGAAGACUGGGAUAACUCCGGGAAACCGGAGCUAAUACCGGAUACCCCCACCGGGUCGCAUGGCCUGGUGAGGAAAUGAAUUUCGCUUCGGGAGGGGCUCGCGGCCUAUCAGCUUGUUGGUGGGGUCACGGCCCACCAAGGCUUCGACGGGUAGCUGGUCUGAGAGGACGACCAGCCACACUGGGACUGAGACACGGCCCAGACUCCUACGGGAGGCAGCAGUGGGGAAUCUUGGACAAUGGGCGCAAGCCUGAUCGCAGCAAUGCCGCGUGAGGGAUGAAGGCCUUCGGGUUGUAAACCGCUUUCAGCAGGGAACGAUAAUGACGGUACCCUGCAGAAGAAGCUACCGGCUAACUUACGUGCCAGCAGCCGCGGUAAUACGUAGGGUGCUAAGCGUUGUUCGGAUUACUGGGCGUAAAGCGCUCGUAGGCGGCUGCGCAAGUCGGGUGUGAAAGCCUCAGAGCUCAACUCUGGAGAUUGCCACCUUGAUACUGAUAUGGCUUGAGUACUGGUAGAGGUGAGUCACGGAAUUCCUGGUGUAGAGGUGAAAUGCGUAGAUAUUCAGGAGGAACACCGGUGGCGAAGGCGGCUGAUCUGGGCCAGCUACUGACGCUGAGGCAGCGACAGCGUGGGGAGCGAACAGGAUUAGAUACCCUGGUAGUCCACGCCGUAAACGUUGGGUACCUAGCCGUGUGGCGACCUUAUCAACGGGUCAGUGCCGCAGCUAACGCAUUAAGCUUACCCGCCUGGGGAGUACGGCCGCAAGGCUUAAACUCAAAGGAAUUGACGGGGGCCCGCACAAGCGGUGGAGCAUGUGCUUAAUUCGACUGCAACGCGCAGAACCUUACCAUGGGUUUGACAUCUGUACGGCAAGCCGUAGAGAUCCGGUGUCCCUCAGGGGCCAGUACACAGGUGGCUGCAUGGCUGUCGUCAGCUCGUGUCGUGAGAUGUUGGGUUAAGUCCCGCAACGAGCGCAACCCUCGUCCUUAUGUUGCCAGCAGUCAGUAUGGGGGCACUCGUAGGAGGACCUGCCGGCGGUCAACUCGGAGGAAGGUGGGGAUGACGUCAAAUCCUCAUGCCCCUUACGUCCCUGGGCUGCAACACUGCUACAAUGGCGGUACAAGUGGCUGCUACUCCGCGAGGAUGCAGCGAAUCCCAAAAAGCCGGUCCUCAGUUCAGGAUUGGCAGCUCUGCAACUCGAGUCCAUGAAGGUGGAAGUCGCUAGUAAUCGCAGAUCAGCAACGCGGCGGUGAAUACGUUCCCGGGCCUUGUACACACCGCCCGUCACACCAUGGAAGUUGGUAUUACACCCGAAGACAGGUGCCCUAACCCGCAAGGGAGGCAGCCUGUCGACGGUAGGGAUCAGCUGACUGGGGUG